rnacentral:rRNA from 1 species
GGCAGCAGUAAGGAAUAUUGGUCAAUGGAGGGAACUCUGAACCAGCCAUGCCGCGUGCAGGAAGACAGCCCUCUGGGUCGUAAACUGCUUUUAUUCGGGAAUAAACCUUAUUACGUGUAAUAAGCUGAAUGUACCGAAGGAAUAAGGAUCGGCUAACUCCGUGCCAGCAGCCGCGGUAAUACGGAGGAUCCAAGCGUUAUCCGGAUUUAUUGGGUUUAAAGGGUGCGUAGGCGGCUUAUUAAGUCAGGGGUGAAAGACGGUGGCUCAACCAUCGCAGUGCCCUUGAUACUGAUGAGCUUGAAUACACUAGAGGUAGGCGGAAUGUGACAAGUAGCGGUGAAAUGCAUAGAUAUGUCACAGAACACCGAUUGCGAAGGCAGCUUACUAUGGUGUGAUUGACGCUGAGGCACGAAAGCGUGGGGAUCAAACAGGAUUAGAUACCCUGGUAGUCCACGCCCUAAACGAUGAAUACUCGCUGUUAGCGAUAU